GACGAACGCUGGCGGCGUGCUUAACACAUGCAAGUCGAACGGUGAAGCUCCAGCUUGCUGGAGUGGAUCAGUGGCGAACGGGUGAGUAACACGUGAGCAACCUGCCCCUGACUCUGGAAUAAGCGCUGGAAACGGCGUCUAAUACUGGAUACGAGAAGGGCCCGCAUGGGCACUUUCUGGAAAGUUGUUCGGUUGGGGAUGGGCUCGCGGCCUAUCAGCUUGUUGGUGAGGUAAUGGCUCACCAAGGCGACGACGGGUAGCCGGCCUGAGAGGGCGACCGGCCACACUGGGACUGAGACACGGCCCAGACUCCUACGGGAGGCAGCAGUGGGGAAUAUUGCACAAUGGGCGAAAGCCUGAUGCAGCGACGCCGCGUGAGGGAUGACGGCCUUCGGGUUGUAAACCUCUUUCAGCAGGGAAGAAGCGAAAGUGACGGUACCUGCAGAAGAAGCACCGGCUAACUACGUG
rnacentral:rRNA from 1 species